rnacentral:tRNA from 1 species
UCCUGAUUAGCUCAGUUGUUAGAGUGCUCCACUGAAAAUGAAGGGGUGCCCUGGUUUGAUACCAGGACAAGGCG